UGGGGAAUUUUGGACAAUGGGCGAAAGCCUGAUCCAGCAAUGCCGCGUGUGUGAAGAAGGCCUUCGGGUUGUAAAGCACUUUUGUCCGGAAAGAAAUCCUCUGGGUUAAUACCUCGGGGGGAUGACGGUACCGGAAGAAUAAGCACCGGCUAACUACGUGCCAGCAGCCGCGGUAAUACGUAGGGUGCAAGCGUUAAUCGGAAUUACUGGGCGUAAAGCGUGCGCAGGCGGUUUUGUAAGACGGAUGUGAAAUCCCCGGGCUUAACCUGGGAACUGCAUUCGUGACUGCAAGGCUAGAGUAUGGCAGAGGGGGUAGAAUUCCACGUGUAGCAGUGAAAUGCGUAGAGAUGUGGAGGAAUACCGAUGGCGAAGGCAGCCCCCUGGGCCAAUACUGACGCUCAUGCACGAAAGCGUGGGGAGCAAACAGGAUUAGAUACCCUGGUAGUCCACGCCCUAAACGAUGUCAACUAGUUGUUGGGGAUUCAUUUCCUUAGUAACGUAGCUAACGCGUGAAGUUGACCGCCUGGGGAGUACGGUCGCAAGAUUAAAACUCAAAUGAAUUGACGGGGUCAUAGCUGUUUCCU
rnacentral:rRNA from 1 species